AUUGAACGCUGGCGGCAUGCCUUACACAUGCAAGUCGAACGGCAGCACGGGAGCAAUCCUGGUGGCGAGUGGCGAACGGGUGAGUAAUAUAGUCGGAACGUGCCCAGUCGUGGGGAUAACGUAGCGAAAGCUACGCUAAUACCGCAUACGAUCUAUGGAUGAAAGCGGGGGAUCGCAAGACCUCGCGCGAUUGGAGCGGCCGAUAUCAGAUUAGGUAGUUGGUGAGGUAAAGGCUCACCAAGCCGACGAUCUGUAGCUGGUCUGAGAGGACGACCAGCCACACUGGGACUGAGACACGGCCCAGACUCCUACGGGAGGCAGCAGUGGGGAAUUUUGGACAAUGGGCGCAAGCCUGAUCCAGCAAUGCCGCGUGCAGGAUGAAGGCCUUC
rnacentral:rRNA from 1 species